GAUGAACGCUAGCGGUAGGCUUAACACAUGCAAGUCGAGGGGCAGCACAGGUAGCAAUACUGGGUGGCGACCGGCGCACGGGUGCGUAACGCGUAUACAAUUUACCUUUUACUAGGGGAUAGCCCAGAGAAAUUUGGAUUAAUACCCUAUAGUAUUAUCGGAUCGCAUGGAUUGGUAAUUAAAGUUUCGGCGGUAAGAGAUGAGGAUGCGUCCUAUUAGGUAGAUGGUAAGGUAACGGCUUACCAUGGCUAUGAUAGGUAGGGGUCCUGAGAGGGAGAUCCCCCACACUGGUACUGAGACACGGACCAGACUCCUACGGGAGGCAGCAGUGAGGAAUAUUGGUCAAUGGGCGCAAGCCUGAACCAGCCAUGCCGCGUGCAGGAUGACUGCCCUAUGGGUUGUAAACUGCUUUUUUACAGGAAGAAACCCUACCAUGCGUGGUAGAUUGACGGUACUGUAGGAAUAAGCACCGGCUAACUCCGUGCCAGCCGCCGCGGUAAUAC
rnacentral:rRNA from 1 species